AACGAACGCUGGCGGCGCGCUUAACACAUGCAAGUCGAACGGUCCCGAUAAAGCCGUAAGGUGAUAUCGGGGUAGUGGCAAACGGGUGAGUAACACGUGGAUAAUCUACCUUUGAGUGGGGGAUAACUCUGCGAAAGUGGAGCUAAUACCGCGAAAACUACAGAAUCGCAUGAUUCAGUAGUAAAAGGUUUUCGAUUUUCGGAGGUCGCUCAGGGAUGAGUCCGUGCCUGAUUAGCUAGUUGGUAGGGUAAUAGCCUACCAAGGCAACGAUCAGUAGCCGGCCUGAAAGGGUGUUCGGCCACACUGGAAUUGAGAUACGGUCCAGACUCCUACGGGAGGCAGCAGUGGGGAAUCUGCGCAAUGGGGGAAACCCUGACGCAGUGACGCCGCGUGAACGAUGAAGUCCUUCGGGAUGUAAAGUUCUGUCAGGCGGGAAGAACUCCCUCGAUUGCAUCGAGGGAAUGACGGUACCGCCAGAGGAAGCACUGGCUAAUUCCGUGCCAGCAGCCGCGGUAACACGGAGAGUGCAAGCGUUGUUCGGAAUUACUAGGCGUAAAGAGCGUGUAGGUGGUUAGCUAAGUCGGAUGUGAAAAUUCCAAGCUCAACUUGGAACGUGCAUUCGAAACUGGUUAACUUGAGUGUAGGAGAGGAGAGCGGAAUUCCUAGUGUAGCGGUGAAAUGCGUAGAUAUUAGGAAGAACACCGGUGGCGAAGGCGGCUCUCUGGCCUAAAACUGACACUGAGACGCGAAAGCGUGGGUAGCGAACAGGAUUAGAUACCCUGGUAGUCCACGCCGUAAACGAUGGGCAUUAGGUGUAGGAGGUAUCCAAUCCUUCUGUGCCGAAGUUAACGCAUUAAAUGCCCCGCCUGGGGAGACGACCGCAAGGUU
rnacentral:rRNA from 1 species